AUGGAGAAGAAUAGUUCUAUCAGUGAAUAUAUACUCAAAAUGUCUGGGUACCACAAUCACUUGGCUCAACUGGGAGUUAAUCUUCCUGUUGAUAGUGUCAUUGACAUAGUUCUUCAAUCACUGCCACCAAGCUACGAAAGCUUCGUGAUGAACUAUAAUAUGCAAGGGAUGGAUAAGACAAUUCCCGAGCUCUUCGCGAUGCUAAAGGCUGCGGAGGUAGAAAUCAAGAAGGAGCAUCAAGUGUUGAUGGUUAACAAGACCACUAGUUUCAAGAAAAAUGGCAAAGGGAAGAAGGGGAAUUUCAAGAAGAACGGCAAGCAAGUUGCUGCUCAAGUGAAGAAGCCCAAGUCUGGACCUAAGCCUGAGACUGAGUGCUUCUACUGCAAAGGGACUGGUCACUUCAAGCGGAACCGCCCCAAGUAUUUGGCGGAUAAGAAGGAUGGCAAAGUGAAAGGGGCUACGGAUUAA
rnacentral:rRNA from 1 species